rnacentral:tRNA from 1 species
ACGAGAAUGGACGGCCCGGCGUCCGGUAUCUUCAGGAUAUCGAGGCGAUGGACGUGAACCUCGACUCGGCCGUUCGGAUCUCGCUUCUCGUC